rnacentral:lncRNA from 1 species
GGGAAAGACAGGGAGUCUUGUGGAACAGAGUGUCCCUUUAUGUCCUUGUGAAGCUUUCAGGGCUUGGGGUACAAUGAUUCAGACUUAAGAUUUUUGAAAAGAGUUCUUGACCUUCUCCCUGCUAAAUGAAUGAAUGAACGAAUGAACAAGCUUGCAAACCAAAUGUCUAAACACUUUUCAGGGACUUUGCAGAUCUCCUGAAGCUUAUCCAUGGACUUCUGUAGACUCUAGAAUUCCAUAGUCCCAGUAACAUAUUUGAGGCUUACUAUGUUGCAAGAUCCAAAUGGUGCCCCUUGCAUGGACCAUUUGGACAGGGUGUUUUUUGUUUUUUUUUUAAUUUUUUUUAGCUGUAGUUGGACAAAACACCCUGUGCUCGGUGCUGUGUUGUAUUCAUUCUACCAAAAAGACAUGGAGGCAAAGGGGAGUGAUGUGCCCUAGGUCACAGAAUUAUUGUGUGAUUUGAAACUGUCCAGCCACAUGAUAGCUGUGGAACCAGUCAUGUUAACUUAAUCAGAUAUGUGACAGCCAUGUAUGAAAUAAUUUUCAGAGGAGAUUCAAAAGCAAGGUGACCAUUCCAGAACAAAUUCCUGGAGAUAUGACCCAGGAGAUAUGGGCUUUAUCAAGGAAAGUUGUUUAAGAGGAGUUGUUUAAAUAGUACUGCUAGAGACCUAAAAGUGUUUAGGAUGUAGAAAGUCAAAGGAUUGGAAAAUGAAUAGAGAAGAGGAAGAGUCAAGAACAACCCCAUGUUUCUACCUGACAUUUCCUUUGUGGAUGGUGCUGACAUUAAGAAUGAGUUCAGGAGGAGCUGCCAACUUGCUUGGGGAAAGGGUGGUGGUAUCAUAUAGGAGGGCUCUUUUUAUUUUUUUAUUUUUAUUUUUUUAGUUGUAGUUGGACACAACACCAUUAUUUUAUUUAUUUAUUUUUAUGUGGGGCUGAGGAUUGAACCCAGGGCCUCGCAUUUGCCAGGCAUGCGCUCUACCACUGAGCCACAACCCCAGCCCCUAGGAGGGCCUUUAAUUUUGUGCAGAGAAGUU